AGGGCGCCCGGGGCGAUUUGUGCGUUGACGCGGGCAACCCGCCGGAGGUCUCCGGGGUCAAGUGUGCUAAGAAGACGUGUAGCCCGAGGCC
rnacentral:SRP_RNA from 11 species